GAAGAAAGCUUGAGGCGUGCCUAAUACAUGCAAGUUGAGCGCUGAAGGUUGGUACUUGUACCAACUGGAUGAGCAGCGAACGGGUGAGUAACGCGUGGGGAAUCUGCCUUUGAGCGGGGGACAACAUUUGGAAACGAAUGCUAAUACCGCAUAAAAACUUUAAACACAAGUUUUAAGUUUGAAAGAUGCAAUUGCAUCACUCAAAGAUGAUCCCGCGUUGUAUUAGCUAGUUGGUGAGGUAAAGGCUCACCAAGGCGAUGAUACAUAGCCGACCUGAGAGGGUGAUCGGCCACAUUGGGACUGAGACACGGCCCAAACUCCUACGGGAGGCAGCAGUAGGGAAUCUUCGGCAAUGGACGAAAGUCUGACCGAGCAACGCCGCGUGAGUGAAGAAGGUUUUCGGAUCGUAAAACUCUGUUGGUAGAGAAGAACGUUGGUGAGAGUGGAAAGCUCAUCAAGUGACGGUAACUACCCAGAAAGGGACGGCUAACUACGUG
rnacentral:rRNA from 1 species